CCUACGGGAGGCAGCAGUGAGGAAUAUUGGUCAAUGGGCGAGAGCCUGAACCAGCCAAGUCGCGUGAGGGAGUACUGCCCUAUGGGUUGUAAACCUCUUUUGUCGGGGAGCAAAAGCCGGACGUGUCCGGCUGUGAGAGUACCCGAAGAAAAAGCAUCGCCUAACUCCGUGCCAGCAGCCGCGGUAUUACGGAGGAUGCGAGCGUUUUCCGGAUUUAUUGGGUUUAAAGGGUGCGCAGGCGGAUUUUUAAGUCAGCGGUAAAAUCGUGGGGCUCAACCCCAUCCAGCCGUUGAAACUGGGGAUCUAGAGUGUGCGAGAGGUAUGCGGAAGGCGUGGUGUAGCGGUGAAAUGCAUAGAUAUCACGCAGAACCCCGAUUGCGAAGGCAGCAUACCGGUGCACAACUGACGCUCAGGCACGAAAGCGUGGGUAUCGAACAGGAUUAGAUACCCUUGUAGUC
rnacentral:rRNA from 1 species